rnacentral:rRNA from 1 species
CACGUAGGGAGCAAGCGUUGUCUGGAUUUAUUGGGCGUAAAGAGCUCGUAGGUGGUUCGGUAAGUCAGGUGUGAAACCUCCAGGCUCAACCUGGAGACGCCACUUGAUACUGCUGUGACUGGAGUCCGGUAGGGGAGCGUGGAAUUCCUGGUGUAGCGGUGAAAUGCGCAGAUAUCAGGAGGAACACCAGCGGCGAAGGCGGCGCUCUGGGCCGGUACUGACACUGAGGAGCGAAAGCGUGGGUAGCAAACAGG